rnacentral:rRNA from 1 species
CCCUUAGAUGUUCUGGCUGCACACGUGCUACACUGGCAGGUUCAGCGAGCUUCAUGCCCUGAUCUGAAAGGAAUGGGAAAUCUUUUCAAAACCUGCCGUGCUUGGGAUAGAUGUUUGCAAUUAUUCAUCUUCAACGAGGAUUGCCUUGUAAGCGCACGUCAUCAGCGUGCAUUGAAUACGACCCUGUAUUCUGUACACACCGCCCGUCGCUCCUACCGAUUGAAGUUUUCGGUGAGUUGACAGGAGGAUUUUUUUGAAACUGGUUCGCCAGUGGAUUUUAGAUCCAAAUGCCAACGAAUCGAUGGCUUUAGAGGAAGGAGAAGUCGUAACA